AUUGAACGCUGGCGGCAUGCCUUACACAUGCAAGUCGAACGGUAACGCGGGGCAACCUGGCGACGAGUGGCGAACGGGGUGAGUAAAGUAUCGGAACGUGCCCAAUAGUGGGGGAUAGCCCGGCGAAAGCCGGAUUAAUACCGCAUGAGACCUGAGGGUGAAAGCGGGGGACUCGCAAGAGCCGUCGCGCUGUCGGAGCGGCCGAUAUCAGAUUAGGUAGUUGGUGGGGUAAAGGCCUACCAAGCCGACGAUCUGUAGCUGGUCUGAGAGGACGACCAGCCACACUGGGACUGAGACACGGCCCAGACUCCUACGGGAGGCAGCAGUGGGGAAUUUUGGACAAUGGGCGCAAGCCUGAUCCAGCAAUGCCGCGUGCA
rnacentral:rRNA from 1 species